rnacentral:tRNA from 1 species
UUCUGGUGGCUCAGAUGGUAAAGAAUCUGCCUGCAAUGCAGGAGACCCAGGUUCAAUCCCUGGGUCAGGAA